GCUUAAAUAACAACAUACACAAACAUCCAUAAAACACCAAACAAACCAUUUGACCCACCAAGUAGAUGUGAUCGAACAGUAAUAUAUAAACCUAAAAGUACCGCAAGGGAAAACCAUAAGCAACAAACAGCAAAGAUAAAUCCUUGUACCUUUUGUAUCAUGAUUUAGCAAGCUAAAUAAGACAAGAAGAAUCACAGCCUAUAUUCCCGAAACCAAGUGAGCUACUUUAAAGCAGCUAAUAGAGCAAACCCGUCUCUGUGACAAAAGAGUGGGAAGACUUAAAAGUAGAGGUGAAACGCCUAUCGAACCUGGAGAUAGCUGGCUACCCAAAAAAGAAUCUAAGUUCUACUUUAGAUCAAACUAUAAUCAAUUAUAAACUAAAGAUAAUCAAUAGGGGUACAGCUCUAUUGAUCCGGGAUUCAACCCGAAUUUAAGAGAAACAAACAUAUUAUUAAACCAGUAGACCUCAAAGCAGUCACCUAAUAAAAUAUCGUUAUAGAAUUAAUAAAAAAAUCUAAAUACUAAACAAAAUCUCUAAACAAACUAAAGGUAAUUCCAUCUCCAUGGAAGCUAUUAUGCUAAUACUAAUAAUAAGAAAUCACCUCUAUAAACGCACUCCUCCACUAGAAACGGACAAUCCACUAGCUAUUAACAGACCAAAACAGGCCAAACAACCAACCAAUACACAUCCUUAUACAAACUGUGACACCAACACAGGUGCGUUAAAAAGAAAGAUAAAAUAUUAUAAAAGGAACUCGGCAACCAAAGACCCCAACUGUUUAACAAAAACAUAACCUUUAGCCAAACAAAUAUUAAAGGCAACGCCUGCCCAGUGAACAAUUAAACGGCCGCGGUACCCUAACCGUGCAAAGGUAGCGUAAUCAUUUGUCUAUUAAUUGUAGACCAGUAUGAAAGGCAAAAUGAGGGUCUAUCUGUCUCUUAUAAUAAAUCAAUUAAACUGAUCUCCUAGUAAAAAAGCUGGGAUACCUACAUAAGACCAGAAGACCCUGUGAAGCUUAAACUAAACUAUUAAACCUAAUAAUACUAACUUUCGGUUGGGGCGACCUUGGAAAAAAAAGAAACUUCCAAAUACAUGACCAUAACUCACAUACAGGCUUACAAGCCUAACAAGACCCAGCAUAGCUGAUUAUUGAACCAAGUUACUCCAGGGAUAACAGCGCUAUCUUCUUCAAGAGUCCAUAUCAAAAAGAAGGUUUACGACCUCGAUGUUGGAUCAGGACAUCCUAAUGGUGCAGCAGCUAUUAAGGGUUCGUUCGUUCAACGAUUAAUAGUCCUACGUGAUCUGAGUUCAGACCGGAGCAAUCCAGGUCGGUUUCUAUCUAUGACUCGCCCUACCCAGUACGAAAGGAUCGGUAAAGCAGAGCCAAUACUUAAGGCACGCUCUAUAGUAAAAACAAAAUACACAGCCCACCACCUAACCAAGAUAAGGUUAAUUAAGGACACCCCUUA
rnacentral:rRNA from 1 species